rnacentral:ncRNA from 1 species
AUAAGGGCGUUGAGCGGGAAGAGUAAGAAAUCAGAGUGCUGACAGAGAGAAACUGCCAUCGGCUGCAAGCAGUUUUCAGAAAGAGAUUUCCGAAGUGCCUCCGUGAGCCUGUCCGGGGAAACGGUUUGUCUGCCAGUACAGUAUCCGGAUACGAGUAACACGCGUUAAGUGUAUUGAGUGAGGAUCAAAAGAUCCUUAAGUUAGAGUGGAACCACGGAUCAUUUCGUCUCUUAG